UACGUAGGGUGCGAGCGUUGUCCGGAAUUAUUGGGCGUAAAGAGCUCGUAGGCGGUUUGUCGCGUCGGCCGUGAAAUCUCCACGCUUAACGUGGAGCGUGCGGUCGAUACGGGCAGACUUGAGUUCGGUAGGGGAGGCUGGAAUUCCUGGUGUAGCGGUGAAAUGCGCAGAUAUCAGGAGGAACACCGGUGGCGAAGGCGGUUCUCUGGGCAUGUCCUGACGCUGAGGAGCGAAAGCGUGGGGAGCAAACAGG
rnacentral:rRNA from 1 species